CCCUACAGGCAGCACUCAGGGGGCUCGUCGUCUAGGUGAUGCCAACCCUCAAAGACCUCCUCCCCCGCCAGGCCCAACUAGCAGUGCCCUUUGUGCUACUCCCAAUGGACCUACAGGCAGGACUCAGGGGGCUCAUAACCCAGGCGACUACAAUCCAAGUACCAUAACAGGCCGUGCUACUGCAGGUGAUCGUGACGGUCCUACUGCCCCGUUGGAGGCUGCAUCCCUUGCACAAGCUUCUGAUGAUUUUGUGCCCAGGGAUCCUCCAAGGUCUACUACAAAGGGUAGGGCAAAGAGUCGACGGUACAAAUCGGCG